CAUGGUGGCAGAGAAGUCCGGGUGUCGGCACUCCAGAUAAGGUUACAGGAAAACUCAGACAUCCAUCUCAUUUCCCUCCCCUCCCUCCAAUUCCCUUCCUGGCGCCCAGCAUAGAGACUGUUGGCCGCUGCCCCUUUAAGGGCCUCCACUCCUCCCCACCCCAAGCAGUGGCACCGGGGCGGGUAGUGGGGGGGAGGUUGAGCGUUCUCGCCCCGGUCAACUAGGGAAAAUGGCCCAGGCCCGGGAAAUCGCUCCCACGCCCCGCUGUCCCCGCCCCCGAGCCGGGUGAGCUGGGAGACCCCUUCUCUCUUUCCCUCCCGCCCCACGCACGCCACGGGAAUGGCUCCGUGGCCUCACGGGAACGGCUCCCUGGCUUCGUGGCCGGAUGCCCCCACCCUGACGCCCAAUACUGCCAACACGAGUGGGCUGCCGGGGGUGCCGUGGGCGGUGGCAUUGGCGGGGGCACUGUUGGCGCUGGCCGUGCUGGCCACCGUGGGAGGCAACCUGCUGGUCAUCGUGGCCAUCGCUCGGACGCCGAGACUCCAGACCAUGACCAACGUGUUCGUGACCUCGCUGGCCACAGCAGACCUGGUGGUGGGACUCCUGGUAGUGCCGCCGGGGGCCACCCUGGCGCUGACCGGCCACUGGCCCCUGGGCGCCACUGGUUGCGAGCUGUGGACCUCAGUGGACGUGCUGUGUGUGACCGCCAGCAUUGAAACCCUGUGCGCCCUGGCCGUGGACCGCUACCUGGCAGUGACGAACCCGCUGCGCUACGGCGCCCUGGUCACCAAACGGCGCGCCCGGGCAGCCGUGGUACUGGUGUGGGUCGUGUCAGCGGCGGUGUCGUUUGCGCCCAUCAUGAGCAAAUGGUGGCGCGUGGGAGCCGACGCCGAGGCGCAGCGCUGCCACUCCAAUCCGCACUGCUGCGCCUUCGCCUCCAACAUACCCUACGCGCUGCUCUCCUCCUCCGUCUCCUUCUACCUUCCGCUCCUUGUGAUGCUCUUCGUCUACGCGCGCGUUUUCGUCGUGGCUACGCGCCAGCUGCGCCUGCUGCGCGGAGAGCUGGGCCGCUUCCCGCCAGGGGAGUCUCCGCAGGCCGCGUCUCGCUCUCUGUCCCCUGCCCCGGCGGGGCCGUGCGCUUCUCCCGCAGGGGUGCCCUCCUACGGGCGGCGGCCCGCGCGCCUUCUGCCUCUCCGGGAACACCGGGCCCUGCGCACCUUGGGUCUCAUCAUGGGGACCUUCUCUCUCUGCUGGUUGCCCUUCUUUGUGGCCAACGUGGUGCGAGCCCUCGGGGGCCCCUCUCUGGUUCCCAGCCCGGCUUUCCUGGCCCUUAACUGGCUAGGCUAUGCCAACUCCGCCUUUAACCCGCUCAUCUACUGCCGCAGCCCCGACUUUCGCAGCGCCUUUCGCCGCCUGCUGUGCCGCUGCCGGCGGGAGGAGGGCCACGCAGCAGCCUCCGGGGCUGGAGAAACCUCGGAUGCCCCUGCGGCGCUGACGAGGCCCGCAGAGUCGGGGCUUCCUGGGGGAAUUUCUUAGGUCCUGAACGACAAGAAACAACUCUGUUCAUCCAGAACUUUUGGAAAGCCUCUGGCCUCUGUUUAGAAUGAGCCCUGUGGAGUUUCCCAGCUGGAAAUCUCUGACCUCCAGAAACUGAACUUUUCUAAGCCCUGAGCUUCACCACUACCUCAGCAGCUGAAGUAUCCAGCAGCCUGGAGCAGCCGGACUAGCUUUGGUGGGACACCUGUCACCUUGCUCACUUCUGUGCUGUGUGCUUAGGGCAGAGACAGCACUCCUCCUUUCAUCCCUCCUGCUGCCUAGACCUGACGGACCACUCAGUGCUCCCCACGAUCGCUUGCUGCUUGCUCUGUGGCCUAGGCUGGGAGCAGGAAGCUAGCAAAGGUGCAGCUUUGGGGUUUUGUCCCUGACACAUCGCUACGGAUCUCUAAGCACCGGCCUCCCCCACUUUGGACACAGGACAGCUCUGAUCUACCUCACAGCAGUGCCAGAAGGACUUCUUCAGGGUUUUUUUUUUUGGAGGGGGGUGGGGGAGUGGCUCCGGGAUUCAUAGGAGGCCGAACCAUUAGAACAGAUCCCUUCUUUUCCUUUUAGCAUCAAAUGAAUAAAUAUUACUGAAUGCGAU